rnacentral:rRNA from 1 species
CCUACGGGGGACAGCAGUAGGGAAUCUUCCACAAUGGGCGAAAGCCUGAUGGAGCAACGCCGCGUGGGUGAAGAAGGUCUUCGGAUCGUAAAACCCUGUUGUUAGAGAAGAAAGUGCGUGAGAGUAACUGUUCACGUUUCGACGGUAUCUAACCAGAACGCCACGGCUAACUACGUGCCAGCAGCCGCGGUAAUACGUAGGUGGCAAGCGUUAUCCGGAUUUAUUGGGCGUAAAGGGAACGCAGGCGGUCUGUUAAGUCUGAGGUGAAAUGCUUCGGCUUAACCGGAGUAGUGCAUUGGAAACUGGGAGACUUGAGAGCAGAAGAGGAGAGUGGAACUCAAAGUGUAGCGGUGAAAUGCGUAGAGAUAAGGAAGAACACCAGGGGCGAAAGCAGCUCUCUGGUCUGUAACUGACGCUGAGGUUCGAAAGCGUGGGUAGCAAACAGGAUUAGAUACCCUUGUAGUC